rnacentral:lncRNA from 1 species
UUCAUAGUUACAAGUGUUUCGUCAAUGCUUAUGAUUUUCAUAGAACUUAAUGAUUCUUGCUUGUAUCUUUAUUAUGCAAUUCAUGUAGGGAACUUGUGGGGAAUGCUUUGGGUUGUUGUAUGCAAUCAUCCAAUUCAAUGAAAUUAGGAAAAUCUGAGGGUUAAUUAGUGCAAUUCAAAGUUAAUCUGGGGCGUUGAGAAUUCAUAGUUUAUUGAAAAGCAACUGGAAAUCGUUUUGUUUGCAAGUGUGUCAUGUGUGGAAAAGAACCUCCUAGCUAGCCUUCCAUCAUUCAAUUUACUCAAAUUCGUGCAGAUUUCAUUAGUUCUUUAAUUUACUUGUUUUGUUUUCAAAUUCAUCAAAACCAAAAUCCCCUUUACCUUGUUGAGUCAUAUUAGUUAGAAACUGAUUUAGUUUGUGUUUUUAAGUAUUUCGAACCAAGUUAAAACCAAAAUUCAUCCAAAAGUGUGUUUAAAGUCUAAAUCUGCCCAGUUUGUGUUUUUAGGCAGAUUUGAGCGUUUUUAGCUUGUUUUGAGUUCUUUGAGUUUGUUUUGAAGUCUUUGAGUCUAGUUUAGUGUUUUUAACUUUGUUUAUAUGUUUUUAAGUCAGUUUAAAGGUUAUUAGCAAGCCCUCUUAAUCCCCGGUCUAGAACGAUCCCUACUUACAUUCUUUACUACAAUUGAUACAAGAGGGUUUAAUUUGUGUGUUAAGUAAAUUCGCAUCAGUGUCUCUUCGAUUUUUGAGAAAGUGAUCAUAUUGGGAGUCUGGCUCUCGAGAUUCAGAAGGCGGUGCCUCUUCGAUUUUUGAGCACCUAAUCUUGUUGGGAGUUUGGCUCUCGAGAUUCGGAU